rnacentral:piRNA from 1 species
GGUUUUAGUAAAUACAAUAGCCUCAUGUCC